rnacentral:misc_RNA from 1 species
CUGAGUUUACAACUCUCCAAACCCAUGUGAACAUUACCACUGUUGUUGCCUCGGUGGUGUCAGGGCCCUUCGGGACGUGACCAGCCAGGUGGACCAACCAAACUCUUGUUAUUUUAUCGGCUAUAUCUGAGUACUCAUGAACUAGAAAUAAUUA